GAGACAUUGUCCUCCAGGUAACAGGUCUUGUUAUGAUGUCAUCAUUAUUGAACAUGUGACUAGUGGGAACAAAGUGUCUCUGUCAUUCUGACUGAACACUUCAAGCUGUUCAGGGACAAUGGAGACGUCUCUUCCUCAUCAGGACAGUUAUUAGGAGUGUCAUUGGGGAGGAUAUUCCUUCUGUUUCUAUCAGCUAUGGAGACAAUCAUCAGGAGACAGGUCAUCAGUCUGUUAUAUAGAGUUAUGGAGACAGGUCAUCAGUCUGUUAUAUAGAGCUAUGGAGACAGGUCAUCAGUCUGUUAUAUAGAGCUAUGGAGACAGGUCAUCAGUCUGUUAUAUAGAGCUAUGGAGACAGGUCAUCAGUCUGUUAUAUAGAGCUAUGGAGACAGGUCAUCAGUCUGUUAUAGAGAGCUAUGGAGACAGGUCAUCAGUCUGUUAUAUAGAGCUAUGGAGACAGGUCAUCAGUCUGUUAUAUAGAGCUAUGGAGACAGGUCAUCAGUCUGUUAUAUAGAGCUAUGGAGACAGGUCAUCAGUCUGUUAUAUAGAGCUAUGGAGACAGGUCAUUAGUCUGUUAUAUAGAUCUAUGGAGACAGGUCAUCAGUCUGUUA